UUCAUUAAAUUUUCUACUAUCACUUGAAAAUCGUGACAAAAAAAGUUGAGCUGAAGUUAACAAAAUGAAAAUAGCCAUCAUUAUGUUUCUAUUUACUCUGAUUAUGGCGCUUGCAUGCAGUGCUAUGGGCCAGCCAAUGCCGCAUCAUCAUGACCAUGAACAUGAACAUCAUCACGAUCAUCACGAAUUUGAACAUGACGAGUUUGAACAUGAGGGAUUUGAACACGACGAAUUUGAACAUCACGGACAUGAAUAUCACUAGCAUUGAGAAAAUGUUUACCAAUUUGCAUUUUCGGGUGAAAAAUUCAAAAAAUCAAUCACCAAACCCAUCAGAGAGUAUCAGGAAUCCGAAAUAAAAUUUGAUAAAGUA
rnacentral:lncRNA from 1 species